AAUGAACGUUGGCGGCGUGGAUUAGGCAUGCAAGUCGAGCGAGAAUCCCGGCUUGCCGGGAGGACAGCGGCGCAAGGGACAGUAAUGUGUAGAUUAUCUGCCCUCGGGUCCGGGAUAGCCGCGGGAAACUGCGGGUAAUACCGGAUGACAUCUCCGGAUCAAAGGUGUGAUUCCGCCCGAGGAUGAGUCUACAUCCUAUUAGCUUGUUGGCAGGGUAAUGGCCUACCAAGGCGAUGAUGGGUAGCGGGUGUGAGAGCACGACCCGCGUCAUUGGGACUGAGACACUGCCCAGACACCUACGGGUGGCUGCAGUCGAGAAUCUUCGGCAAUGGGCGCAAGCCUGACCGAGCGACGCCGCGUGUGGGAUGAAGGCCUCGG
rnacentral:rRNA from 1 species